rnacentral:misc_RNA from 1 species
AAAUGUUGUGUUUGUUGAUGUUGGUCAUUGUGAUACUCAAGUUGUUGUAGCGUCAUUUGAACCUGGUCAUAUGAAGAUAUUAUCUCAUGCUUUUGAUAGCGCCUUGGGUGGGAGAGACUUCGAUGAAGUUUUAUUCAGACAUUUUGCUGCAAAUUUCAAGGAACAGUACAAUAUUGAUGUUUAUUCAAAUGCUCGGGCUUCUAUAAGAUUGAGGGCUGCAUGUGAGAAACUGAAGA